rnacentral:lncRNA from 1 species
AAGAACUGAGUUCACCUGGUCUGCACUUAUGUUCGCCUUCUUGUGUGGGUUUUUUUUGAGAGUACGCCAAAUGCGUAUCAUAGCUUUAUAGAAAGCAGAAUAUAAGUUAUAAGAAAAUUACUACUCGCUGCGAACAACAAGCGUAGCACAAACACCACACCCAACAGGACCAAAGAGAAACACCACCGCAAAGCAAGUUACAACGCAAAAGAGCCUAUUCUAAGAUCAUACAUAGUACCGUGUCUCAACUGACGCCGGGCAUCUUCAAAGACAACCCACUGUCGCAAAGUUUUACUCAUCAACGCACCAUCCAUCCUAAGCGCCUGAGAGAAAGUGCCAGGUGAAUGACAGGGCUCGAUCCGAUCCGAGAAGGCGCCGUCUUAGACACACCGACGACGGUGUACAGAGCGCCACAGAGGAUCAAAAGAGGACAGUGGUGAACACCGGAGGAGAGCAACGAGGAGCCAGCCAUGUCUCCAAGCAUAGUGCUCCAACAAACGAGCGAUGUUGAGGACAUCGCCAUCGUGCCGAUACAAACACCGAAUCGAGGCUUUUGCUCGAAGACAUUCACCAACUCUAAGAGAGCAGUGGCGGAGCUACGGCUGGGCCAACCCAUGCCCUUGCCCGCCCAUCACAUGCAAAAUUCCUCUGAUGUACACGUACUAUUAGGCCAUGGAAUAACAUUCCAAUAGUAAUUUCCUUCAGCUUGGCCCUGCUAGCCCGCCCAACAAUUUGGGCGAAGCUCCACCACUGCAAGAGAGCGAGCGGAAUUGCGAACACGCUCGACGACGCCUUCAAGAAAGAGAAUGACAUCCAUAGAUGCCAUCACCAUCGGCCCGACAAAAGCCGAGCAAGAUUUUCAUCCGCGCAUGGCCCCUCUCCACACCUCCAUGAAAUUGGCAACAUUGUUCAAGAAGCCUCACACCGCCACCCCAUAGCACUUGCCGACGUAGCAGCAAUGCCGAGGACUGAUGACCAACCGCCCAACAGGGUAACCGCAGCCACACCACCAACUCCCAGCCUGCACAAGGAUCCACGCCAACCAGCACCUUCGGCCAGGUCCGGGACCACCCGUGAUGGUCGUUGCCUACCCAAGGGACAACCUUGCGUCGAUCAGACCCACCUCUCCUCUCCAUGGAAAAUCCCAGGUCGGCACCAUCAGGAGAGUACUGCCGCUCGCCGCGCCGCACAAGGGUAACUGACCGCUCGCUGCUCGCUAAGACUCCAUCUUAGCCGAGCCAUCGACGCGUCGCCACCAGCCUGCCCGUGGGAAUUCGCCACCACACCUGUCAGGACCCCGAUCCUAAGUCACUCCUAUCUAGCAUGUAACACAUCAUAUCACUUUGCGGCCUCACGCACAGUAUUCCCACGGGUGCCACCUUACCUGGCCCGGGACCGUUUGCGCCUUUUGGCUCACGUAUAUGAUAGUGUCCCUAGCAUCCAUAUGGUAAGGAGCCCGGGCUGACAUGGCUAGUCGUAAACCCAAAGUGGCACAAACUUACAGGGACAGGCAUCCAUGACCCAGCAUCGAACGUGUCGAUCAUCAGCGAGUGAACCCAGGUUGUAGCACUGGGCUAGCAGGACUCCGGUGAACCGGGCUGUAGCGGGCUAACAGGACUCCGGUAUUCAUCGCGUGACAUUUCCCCGAAGGGACAGACACAGGAACGAAGAAGGACACAUGCCGGCCAGCCUAAGUGUUCCGGAGCAGUAGCAAGCUACCAUGGCUCAGUGGAAACACUAGGAGACAUUUCCCGAUAAGAGAGGCUACCAAGGAUAAACAACUAGAUAGCCAGAUCCCACACAUACCAAGCAUUUCAAUAACAUACACACAAUAUGCUCGAUAUGUGCAAAUACAACAUGGCAUCACAACAUGACUCUACGACUCAAGUAUUUAUUAGGCUCCGAGGAGCGAGAUAUUACAAACAGGGGUCUCAUGACCCAACACUCAGAGCAUACAAAUCAAGCACAAGCGGAAACUAUCAUGUCUGAGUACAGACAUCUAUAAAUGAAAAAGGCUGAGAAGCCUGACUAUCUACCAGAUCCUGCCGAGGGCACAAGAUCGUAGCUGAGGUAACAAGCUAAACGUCGAAGUCCAAGCGGAACUACUAGUGAGACUGAAGUCUCUCUGCAAAACAUAAAAUAGGCAAACGUGAGUACAAAUGUACCCAGCAAGACUUACAUCAGAUCUAUCUACAUAUGCAUCAUUAUCAACAAAGGGGAUGGUGGGGUUUAACUGCAGCAAGCCAGCUUUGACUCGGUGGCUAUCCUGAACUACGACUGCAAGUAACUCUUUUGAGGUGGCGCACACGAGUCCACAUAUUCACCAUAUCAAUACACCACUAUGGAUCCACUCCCGUCUCCCUACGAGAACGCCAUCCAUAGCACUCAUGCUUAUCUUGCGUAUUUUAGAGUAUCCACUUUCACUUGUCUAUGAACUGUACAAGGGGUCCAAGUUUCCAUAACCGAGGAAUCCGGCUAUUCGAAUAGAUGAUGUUAACCCUGCAGGGGUGUACUUCUUCACACACGCUCUCGCCACUUACCGCCCUGUACACGUCAUGUACCUCGGCAACCUUCAAGCGGAAGCCGGGCGAGGGAGUCGGCCACGACCUGACUAACCGAACAAGUCUCUAGUCCAGGUUUAUCGCCUAUUCGGGUUCCAUCCGCAAGGAGAUCCGGCCGGGGUGUCGCUCAUGGCCCCAAACGAUGUGUGCAGGGUUCCCAAGCCCACCAUCCGGGUGCCACUUGGUACACCGUGCCACUGUGCCUAGUCUGUCCCAAGCCCACCUGUACCGGGUGCCACUUGGUAGACUACUAACACUACCUACAAACACCAGAAACUAGUUGCAACUCCUGGACAGAGAUCAUGUUGAUUAAUAAGUCGAGAAGGGUCGAGUUACCGGAACCCAAUGUGUGGUAGUAACUGGUCAUGGAUCACAAACACAGAGCUCAGUUCCUGAGGACGGCUGCAAUGAGACAACCCACCAUGUACUCCUACAUGGCCUCUCACCGCUACCUUUACCAAAUUGUGUUCACACACUUAGCUCACACACAGUAGGACAUGUUCACACACCUCUGAUUCAUCCCCGAUGAAUCAGACCUGACUCAACUCUAAGCAGUAGCAGGCAUGACAAACAAGCAUGAAAGAGUAGGCACAUCAGGGCUCAAACAACUCCUACUCAUGCUAGUGGGUUUCAUCUAUUUACUGUGUCAAUGACAGGUCAUGCAAAGGAUAAAGGGGUUCAGCUACCGCAGCAAGUAACAAAUAUGUCGUUGUUGUCCUAAUACAGUAAAAGAGAGCAGGAGCGAGAGAGUGGGGUUUUAUCGGAAUGAACAAAGGGGUUUUGCUUGCCUGGCACUUCUGAAGAUAGCAUUGAGUCUUCAUCAGUGUCAACGAUCACAACGUCGGGACAACGUCUACCGAGGGGGAACAACACCGGCAAACACAGAAGAAGCACGAUCAAUGCAAUGCACAAUAUGAUGCAUGCUAUGACAUGGCAAUAUGAAUGUGUUUUGGGCUAAUGCACCUAGCUAUGAUUUAAAUGAAGUUGGUUUGAAUACAUGAUUCAAAUUCCAACUCCAUAUAUGAUUAUUUAAGUGCCCUUUAUUUGUUUUGUCCAAAACAGAGGACAAACAUUGUUUAAACAUGCAUGAAAAUGGUACAGAUGGAUUCCUUGAAUUUUUCUGAUAAUUUUUCAUAUAUAAAUCAUUUAAUUUGGAGUUACGGUUGAAUUUCUAUGAUUUAUUGAAGUUUAAACAAUUUUCUGGAAUUUUCUGAAUAAAAAUAAAUCCAGAAACAUUAUUGCGUCAGCCUGACAUCAUCAUGACGUCAGCAGGUCAACUGGGUCGCCCAGAGUCAAACCUGACGUGUGGGGGCCACACGUCAGUGACACAGGGCUGGUUUGGGUGUUUGACAGGUGGGUCCGGUCAACGUUGACUUGACUAAGUCAAAAUCUGACACAUGGGGUCCACAGAUUAGCACUAAUCUAAACAGAAAAAGUAAACUAACCUAAUUAGGCUCGGGGCCCACAUGGCAGUGGCACUAGGGUUGGUUUAGCUGGGUCAUUAGUGGCUAAUGACGUGCCACGUCACCGGCCACCGGAGUUUGGCCGGCGGUGACUCGAAACGCGGCGGAUGUUCACCGGGGUUGCGCUACGGGCGGCGGCUGGACGCGCGAAGGCUACCAGAAGGUAGCCCGUACACGGCCGCACCUAGCUGGCUGCACGAGGGGCCGCGGGGUGGCCGGAGACGACGGCGGCGAGCACUUCCGCGGUGGCCGGAGUUCGGGCUGGGGCAGGGACGCGGCUGCAGCGCUCGAGCGAGCAAGCGGAGUGGAGAGGCAUCCUCCUGGAGGCGCCAGGAGCGUGUCAGUGCCCCUGGAGCGAGCAGGAGAGGCUCGGGAAUGCGGGCUCGCCGGCCAUGGCGGACGGCGGCCUCGGGUGACCUCGGGGCUACGGCUAGAGGGCGGGAGCAAGCAGGGGGCAGAGGGGAAAUGCUCAGGGGCUUACGGUGAGUUCGAAGAGAAGGUCGGCGUGCUCGGGGAGGCGGCGGAGACGGCGAAUCGGACGGCGGCAUCCGGCGGCCGUGGUCGGGGAAGAAGGCCGCAAGCGUCAUCUUGGGGCCGUCCUGACUCGUGUAGCUCGGAGAGGAGGGAGAGUAGGUGGCGGCGGCGCCUCUGAGAGCAUCGGCGGGGCGAGGCAGUGGCUGUGGCCACGGCGGCGUACGAACGGCGGCGGCGGUCGCUCUCGGGUGCGUGCGAGAGAAAGAACAGAGGAGGAGAUGGGGACGAGGGAGUGAGCGGGAGGGUUCCAGGGGGUCGAGGCGGCGCCGAGGAGAAGGCGCGAGGCGUCGUGGUGGCCUCAGUGACGCAGGCAGGCAGGGAGGUGCGUGGCGCCGCUGGCGCGCGUGCGCUGUCUCCCUCCUCUGCCUUCUGGCAGAGGUAGGUGAUGACUGGCACGGGCCAGGUGGGCCGGCCCGGCCAGGUAAGUGGCCUGUGGCCUUACUCUCUCUCUCUCUCUCUCUCUCUCUCUUCAUUUAGCUUGUUUUUCUAUAUUUCUGCAAUUGUUUUGGCUUUAUUAAAAAUGCCAGAGCAUUAUUAAAAAUCCUGAAAAUAUUCAUGAGCACUUUCUGAAUUAUUUCAGUGUCCCACAAAUAAUUCCAACAUUAUUUGAGCAUUUAAAUUAUUUAUAGUGUUUAAAUGCCCAAAGUCAAAUACAAUAUGAUUUAAUUCAAAAAUCCAAAAAUGAUCUAAGAAUAUAUUCAUCAUUUUUGGCAGAGGUUUCCACCUUAACCAGAAAUCAUGAACUUUUCUUAGGAACUUUUUUGGGUUUAUUGAAAAAGAUUUUAAUCCACCCUAGUUGAGUUGAUUUGGUGCUAGGGUUUGAACAUCCCCAUUUCAAGUUUAAGAAAAAUUUAAACAUGAUGCACACAUGAAGCUAUCCUAGUGCAAUACCAGAAGCUAGGGAUAUGACAACUCACCCCCACUAAACAAGAAUCUCGUCUCGAGAUUCAAGCGUAGGGUAAGAUGAAGGGGAAACGCAAACUAGUAUAAUCUUCACGAUCCAGGUUGCACUUCAAAUGAACGUUGAUUCGAUCACCAUCUUUGUCCCGUCGUCUUGCUCUGAGAACUCCAGCUAGCAUGACAGCAAGAGGAAAAGGACAACUCCGGAAGAAUCGAUCUUCUCGAAGAUCAAUCAACUUAGGAUCAGCUCACCAAGUGAGUCAUAGCAACAUCUCUUGAGCUGAGACACGAAGCAUACAUCUGAAGAAAUGGAGUGAGACAGAUGACGAGGGCUCACUAGGUAGACAACAAUUCCACACCUAAGAAGGUGGUAAACGAUUGUCAACGUAGCGAGGAGUUGAGUUUCCAUGAUGCCACAGAGGGACAUCCUGGAGGAGGGUGAUUCGUAGAUAUAUCCCCUUAGGUGGCAAAAAGAAUUACUUUUGACUCAGAGAUCAUUGAAACUUUUAAAACCAGCCUAAGGCAAUUCUCGAGCGAUCGUUUGGAGGGGGUCGGUAGGAUGGCAUACUCGGACUUGGAUGAUGUGGAUUACCUUGUUGAAGACAACGUAAUGGAUGAAUUUGCUUAUCACCGGAAAUGGAAGAGACCCAUGGUAGAAUGGCACAUUGGUGGUGCAGGCUGGGAACAGAAUGCAAAUGCUGGGAAUGAUUCUGGUAACUGGGGAAGAACCCAACAAUAGAGAGUGAAUUCAUUGUUUGAAAAGGUCAUAGCAUUGCCGAGGAAACUGAGAGGAAUCCCAGUUAGUGCCGAUGAUAACACCUAGCGCUUAUGCAUGCUCUCAAGAACUUGAGCAUUUCCACAAUCAUCAAGGUUUUAUCAACAUCCGUGUCAAGGGUGCUGACAACACAACAUACUACCAUGAUGGCUAAUGAUGGAUGAUGCAGAUGCAAAGGAAGAUAAUACCUUCUCAGAUUUCACCUUAGCGAGGCCAAGGAGACAAAAUCUGGACGAUCGACCGAGAGACAUUUAGCACUCCGCUCCUAAUGUUCUCCUUGAUGUGCUAGCGUAAUCCAUAGAUAAUUAUGGUUGGAUAUCUAGAACAUCAAGUAAAAGGUCGGACUUCGGAAACACAAAAAUCCAUAAGGAACAACUAGGGAGGUAAAUCCUACGAAAUCCUUAUGGGGAGGUGGCCAACUUCUUCAAUCAAGAUACUACAAUAAUAGGUCCUUCGGCUGGGUGGUGCUGGCCACGACAUCCACUUUACCAGUUAUCGAGGGACCAAUAUUAUAGUUCUUGGGAAAUGUUCCAACCAUCAUAUCUGCCUGAGAUUCAGAUCUGGUUGGUGUCAGGAUAUUCCAGACUCAUCGCGUCCAGGAAGAAAAAUGAAAGUUUGCAACACAAUUCGACGAGAUAACGUUGCGAGAUUCUCGGGAAAUGAACUACGAUAGCAAGCUCCAAAACAUGAGCUGGUUCUGCUACACACAUGUGAACAUGUUGUCCCAGACAAGCAUGACCACAUGGUAGUCUUAUAAUAAAACACUACCGAGUUCUGGUUGGGAACCAUCAUCGAGGAUAUCAAAGUUCUUGAUUAAGCCCGGGUUAGCUCUUAAAAAGAACUCCUUCUCCUAGAACAAAUCAGUCAGUGGCUUGGUGUGCUACAUAAUUCAUAUGGAACGAAGAUGAUCAGUCUAACAGACCACAGAAUACUUUGCACGUGCAUGGCUGACUUGGGAUGAUUCUAGAGGAAGCAAAACUAACUUUCUCAAAUCCACGGCGGCAACUUUCACCAAAUGCACGUGUAUAAGAGGAAGUCACUCCUUUCAUCAAACACAUACUUCAUGAGUUAGCAUGAAGAAAUGCUUUCAGAAGUUUCCAACACUAACUUGUUGUCCAACAAGAUCAUGGAGGAGAUGAGGAUGUUGUCAAUGGGCUCAACAACAAUUCAUCUGGGUUUCCUUUUAAAAGGAAUUCCAUAGUUAAGUGAACAAGUGAUAGCAUUGGUCAGACCCAAAAGAUAUAAUGAUGUAUGCUCGAGGGAUCAACCACGAGUAAGACAACAUUACGAAUAUCGUUGGUUCUGGUCUGAUUGGAUGAUAGCCCAUACUCAAUCAAAGGUUUGGGUAAGAUAAUAGAUCCAACAAUUGUCCACAAGGGCCAAUUGAUGAAGAUAUCAUCUUUCUUCAACACACACUAUACAAGAAUAUCCCUUUGGAACGAACUAAGUUAGGCAAGCUUUUAUCUUCCAACUCUCCAAGUUGUUGUCUAGCUUAACCAACUAGCUCAAGAAUAUCCAACAUAGAUUCUUGGAGAAGGGGUGGUUUACAGGAAUAAACCAACUUGAUCACGAACUCAACAUAGCGGUCAGGUGACAACCUGGUAAUACUUCUGAGAAGAUAUUCAGAAAAUCACGAACCACCGAUAUGUUACUAAGCUCGAGAGCAAUCUUUCUUUUCAGGGCAAGAUGAUAUGAUCAAAUGAGCGAGGAUUUGACAAAAUCCUAACUCAUCAAUCAAAGAGUGCACCAGAAAUAGGGACUAGGCAGCACAAUCAGUCUUAGGGUGACGAUUCAAUAAUCAACACGCUAAGAAUGAGGUUAUCGUCCAUUUAACUACCAAGCAACAGAGUUGCUAGCAGUAUUGAUUUCACAUAUCACAAUUCAUUUGUCGGUAUUCCGGUUGCAUCAACACGAGGACCGAGGAAUGACUAAUGAUGGUGAGAAUUAUCACUACGUCAAAAUUCAUGAGAGUUGGUGCAGUUCUCAUGACAAUUCUGACAUAAAGGGGGUAAUACUCCAAGGUAGAACAGAACUAAAAGCUGGAUUGGCAUUUGAUCUGCGGAAUACAACUGCUUUGACCCAAUCCUGGAUAUGGAAGAGGUACUGGAGUUUGUUUCUCCAAGUCAUUCAGGACAGAAUGGCUUGACGGCCACAAGACUAAUAGGCAUCGAUAAACGAACGCACGCAUACUCUUGACUAUCAAUUGAUAGACGAAGGCCAGUAGACAACUAAAGAGGGACAACUCAAAGGAACAUAUAACUUUCUGAGUUGUGGAUGCAUAGAUUAGUAUGUCGAACCAAGUUCAACAUAAUUCUUUCGGAUAACCCAUGCAAAAAGGUUGAGCUGGCAGAGUCACAAUAUAGCAUGGAGAACUCAUCAAGAGUACUCCGAUUAUGGUCUUUUGAUUCAACAAACUACUGCCACAAAUGGUUCAUAGUAUUUGGAAGAAGGAAAAUACCAUGGACCUCGAGGACUAAUGCAAAAGUUACUAAUUUCCUAAAGGAACUAGCAACACUAUCAACAUGAAGUAAGUAGAGUGAAUCUCGGGUUCAAAACCCAGAAGUGAAAUGCCUACUAACUAAGUGGCAUCACGGGAUGCUUUCGAGAAUGAUGGCCAGAAUCAUCACACUGGGACACAAAUCAUGGCUAAAUUACUAGAUGAUCCCCUAAGACACCUAGGGUCAUAAUAAUAACUCCAACAUAAAUGUCAAGGCAAUGGAAUACCUCAACUCAACAAUUAGUGUGAUUGAGCUGGCAUAAAGGAACAUCGAAACCAGGGGGAAAGAAUUUUGCAAAUGCAUCAGACUAUUUAGAAACCUGGGAUGACUCGGACAGCAUAACGGCUGUAAAUGCUCAAAAAAGAUUUGAGACAUUCACCAAAAUGGUGGCAUAAUCACUCAGAAGCACAAUAUCAAGGUUUCGAGAUCAUCAUAGACAUACCGAAGUAGUAGGAACUGGACUGAGGCUUAAAUCCAACAAUCUUAUAAGUCUACGGAUUAGUAACACGUGAUCCUGAUAGAAAGAAGAGAAAGCCUAGUUCUUUAAUCCCCGUAGGAAAAAUAGGAUGACUCAGAUCAGAAGGGCAUAAGGUAUAAGGAGUAAAAAGAGCCUUACGUUCCAUCCCACAAUCAAUUCCCUUAUAUAACUAAAGAGUUUCUAGACUCAACUUCGACCAGUUUGGCUUGGUAAUCCUACAGGCAGUCAAGCUCUAAUACCAACGCUGUCAGGACCCCGAUCCUAAGUCACACCGAUCUAGCAUGUAACACAUCAUAUCACUUUGCGGCCUCACGCACGGUAUUCCCACGGGUGCCACCUUACCUGGCUCGGGACCGUUUGCGCCUUUUGGCUCACGUAUAUGAUAGUGUCGCUAGCAUCCAUAUGGUAAGGAGCCCGGGCUGACAUGGCUAGUCGUAAACCCAAAGUGGCACAAACUUACAGGGACAGGCAUCCAUGACCCAGCAUCGAACAUGUCGGUCAUCAGCGAGUGAACCCAGGCUGUAGCACUGGGCUAGCAGGACUCCGGUGAACCGGGCUGUAGCGGGCUAACAGGACUCCGGUAUUCAUCGCGUGACAUUUCCCCGAAGGGACAGACACAGGAACGAAGAAGGACACAUGCCGGCCAGCCUAAGUGUUCCGGAGCAGUAGCAAGCUACCAUGGCUCAGUGGAAACACUAGGAGACAUUUCCCGGUAAGAGAGGCUACCAAGGAUAAACAACUAGAUAGCCAGAUCCCACACAUACCAAGCAUUUCAAUAACAUACACACAAUAUGCUCGAUAUGUGCAAAUACAACAUGGCAUCACAACAUGACUCUACGACUCAAGUAUUUAUUAGGCUCCGAGGAGCGAGAUAUUACAAACAGGGGUCUCAUGACCCAACACUCAGAGCAUACAAAUCAAGCACAAGCGGAAGCUAUCAUGUCUGAGUACAGACAUCUAUAAAUGAAAAAGGCUGAGAAGCCUGACUAUCUACCAGAUCCUGCCGAGGGCACAAGAUCGUAGCUGAGGUAACAAGCUAAACGCCGAAGUCCAAGUGGAACUACUAGUGAGACUGAAGUCUCUCUGCAAAACAUAAAAUAGGCAAACGUGAGUACAAAUGUACCCAGCAAGACUUACAUCAGAUCUAUCUACAUAUGCAUCAUUAUCAACAAAGGGGAUGGUGGGGUUUAACUGCAGCAAGCCAGCUUUGACUCGGUGGCUAUCCUGAACUACGACUGCAAGUAACUCUUUUGAGGUGGCGCACACGAGUCCACAUAUUCACCAUAUCAAUACACCACUAUGGAUCCACUCCCGUCUCCCUACGAGAACGCCAUCCAUAGCACUCAUGCUUAUCUUGCGUAUUUUAGAGUAUCCACUUUCACUUGUCUAUGAACUGUACAAGGGGUCCAAGUUUCCAUAACCGAGGAAUCCGGCUAUUCGAAUAGAUGAUGUUAACCCUGCAGGGGUGUACUUCUUCACACACGCUCUCGCCACUUACCGCCCUGUACACGUCAUGUACCUCGGCAACCUUCAAGCGGAAGCCGGGCGAGGGAGUCGGCCACGACCUGACUAACCGAACAAGUCUCUAGUCCAGGUUUAUCGCCUAUUCGGGUUCCAUCCGCAAGGAGAUCCGGCCGGGGUGUCGCUCAUGGCCCCAAACGAUGUGUGCAGGGUUCCCAAGCCCACCAUCCGGGUGCCACUUGGUACACCGUGCCACUGUGCCUAGUCUGUCCCAAGCCCACCUGUACCGGGUGCCACUUGGUAGACUACUAACACUACCUACAAACACCAGAAACUAGUUGCAACUCCUGGACAGAGAUCAUGUUGAUUAAUAAGUCGAGAGGGGUCGAGUUACCGGAACCCAAUGUGUGGUAGUAACUGGUCAUGGAUCACAAACACAGAGCUCAGUUCCUGAGGACGGCUGCAAUGAGACAACCCACCAUGUACUCCUACAUGGCCUCUCACCGCUACCUUUACCAAAUCGUGUUCACACACUUAGCUCACACACAGUAGGACAUGUUCACACACCUCUGAUUCAUCCCCGAUGAAUCAGACCUGACUCAACUCUAAGCAGUAGCAGGCAUGACAAACAAGCAUGAAAGAGUAGGCACAUCAGGGCUCAAACAACUCCUACUCAUGCUAGUGGGUUUCAUCUAUUUACUGUGUCAAUGACAGGUCAUGCAAAGGAUAAAGGGGUUCAGCUACCGCAGCAAGUAACAAAUAUGUCGUUGUUGUCCUAAUACAGUAAAAGAGAGCAGGAGCGAGAGAGUGGGGUUUUAUCGGAAUGAACAAAGGGGUUUUGCUUGCCUGGCACUUCUGAAGAUAGCAUUGAGUCUUCAUCAGUGUCAACGAUCACAACGUCGGGACAACGUCUACCGAGGGGGAACAACACCGGCAAACACAGAAGAAGCACGAUCAAUGCAAUGCACAAUAUGAUGCAUGCUAUGACAUGGCAAUAUGAAUGUGUUUUGGGCUAAUGCACCUAGCUAUGAUUUAAAUGAAGUUGGUUUGAAUACAUGAUUCAAAUUCCAACUCCAUAUAUGAUUAUUUAAGUGCCCUUUAUUUGUUUUGUCCAAAACAGAGGACAAACAUUGUUUAAACAUGCAUGAAAAUGGUACAGAUGGAUUCCUUGAAUUUUUCUGAUAAUUUUUCAUAUAUAAAUCAUUUAAUUUGGAGUUACGGUUGAAUUUCUAUGAUUUAUUGAAGUUUAAACAAUUUUCUGGAAUUUUCUGAAUAAAAAUAAAUCCAGAAACAUUAUUGCGUCAGCCUGACAUCAUCAUGACGUCAGCAGGUCAACUGGGUCGCCCAGAGUCAAACCUGACGUGUGGGGGCCACACGUCAGUGACACAGGGCUGGUUUGGGUGUUUGACAGGUGGGUCCGGUCAACGUUGACUUGACUAAGUCAAAAUCUGACACAUGGGGUCCACAGAUUAGCACUAAUCUAAAUAGAAAAAUUAAACUAACCUAAUUAGGCUCGGGGCCCACAUGGCAGUGGCACUAGGGUUGGUUUAGCUGGGUCAUUAGUGGCUAAUGACGUGCCACGUCACCAGCCACCGGAGUUCGGCCGGCGGCGACUCGAAACGCGGCGGAUGUUCACCGGGGUUGCGCUACGGGCGGCGGCUGGACGCGCGAAGGCUACCAGAAGGUAGCCCGUACACGGCCGCACCUAGCUGGCUGCACGAGGGGCCGCGGGGUGGCCGGAGACGACGGCGGCGAGCACUUCCGCGGUGGCUGGAGUUCAGGCUGGGGCAGGGACGCGGCUGCAGCGCUCGAGCGAGCAAGCGGAGUGGAGAGGCAUCCUCCUGGAGGCGCCAGGAGCGUGUCAGUGCCCCUGGAGCGAGCAGGAGAGGCUCGGGAACGCGGGCUCGCCGGCCAUGGCGGACGGCGGCCUCGGGUGACCUCAGGGCUACGGCUAGAGGGCGGGAGCAAGCAGGGGGCAGAGGGGAAAUGCUCAGGGGCUCACGGUGAGUUCGAAGAGAAGGUCGGCGUGCUCGGGGAGGCGGCGGAAACGGCGAAUCGGACGGCGGCAUCCGGCGGCCGUGGUCGGGGAAGAAGGCCGCAAGCGUCAUCUUGGGGCCGUCCUGACUCGUGUAGCUCGGAGAGGAGGGAGAGUAGGUGGCGGCGGCGCCUCUGAGAGCAUCGGCGGGGCGAGGCAGUGGCUGUGGCCACGGCGGCGUACGAACGGCGGCGGCGGUCGCUCUCGGGUGCGUGCGAGAGAAAGAACAGAGGAGGAGAUGGGGACGAGGGAGUGAGCGGGAGGGUUCCAGGGGGUCGAGGCGGCGCCGAGGAGAAGGCGCGAGGCGUCGUGGUGGCCUCAGUGACGCAGGCAGGCAGGGAGGUGCGUGGCGCCGCUGGCGCGCGUGCGCUGUCUCCCUCCUCUGCCUUCUGGCAGAGGUAGGUGAUGACUGGCACGGGCCAGGUGGGCCGGCCCGGCCAGGUAAGUGGCCUGUGGCCUUACUCUCUCUCUCUCUCUCUCUCUCUCUUUUCAUUUAGCUUGUUUUUCUAUAUUUCUGCAAUUGUUUUGGCUUUAUUAAAAAUGCCAGAGCAUUAUUAAAAAUCCUGAAAAUAUUCAUGAGCACUUUCUAAAUUAUUUCAGUGUCCCACAAAUAAUUCCAACAUUAUUUGAGCAUUUAAAUUAUUUAUAGUGUUUAAAUGCCCAAAGUCAAAUACAAUAUGAUUUAAUUCAAAAAUCCAAAAAUGAUCUAAGAAUAUAUUCAUCAUUUUUGGCAGAGGUUUCCACCUUAACCAGAAAUCAUGAACUUUUCUUAGGAACUUUUUUGGGUUUAUUGAAAAAGAUUUUAAUCCACCCUAGUUGAGUUGAUUUGGUGCUAGGGUUUGAACAUCCUCAUUUCAAGUUUAAGAAAAAUUUAAACAUGAUGCACACAUGAAGCUAUCCUAGUGCAAUACCAGAAGCUAGGGAUGUGACAACACCUCUCUGUUGCCAGAGCCUGCCAGGCCCACCGCGCCACCAUCCCACCUACUGAGCGCCGGCCACAAGCCCUCACCUGCACCUGGGGCAAAUCUGGCCUGGUUUGAUCCCCAUCACAACAAGAAAACCAAGCCGCCACCGGCCUGCACAUUCCGCCGUGACGCGCCACCAUCAGCCAGCAUCGCCGCCCAGCACCGCCUCCAGCCUGCGUGAACCGCCGUCGCCGACACCACGCGGGCUUUGCCCAGUGACGGUAGGGAAGGGGAGUGGGGGCCCAUGUCCGGCGGCUAGGGUUAGAUCACCCGGGUCGCCUGGGGAGGGGGGGGGGGCGACAAGAGGCGCUUGUAAAACUAAAUAUGUCUCGUCAGUGUUAACCCUGUUAACCCGAGACUGUCGAUCUUCUUUGUGAACUUGAUUGAAAAUGACAAAAGAAAAAUCUGAAAUUUUGGACAGAAGAAUCUAAAAUACAGUCUGAAGCCUUGGCCCCAGCAAGUUUUGUGAUGUAUGAUAAAAGCAAACAACAUUAGAACAAUUCACAGGUACAACCUCUAUUACUGGCGUGCUCAUACACUAGUUCGUUCUGUGUGUCACUGUCUGCAAGUGCUCAUUAUUCUUUUCGGAGAUGAAGAUCAUAAAGUUCACAAUGAAGACAUACAACCCCUGGCUUUGCUGCUACCUUGGUGUCGCCACAACAGCAGAAUUUCCAUCUCGGACAAAUAAUCUACUGAAAAGCAGAUCGGCGUGGCAAAGACAGCAUGGCAAAAACAAUACUCCGUACUACUGAAAAACUGCUAGCAUUCACUUCCAAUAUAAAAGAUGCACCACAAUCAUAAUCGUUGGUUGCACAAGCCUUACACAUCUAAAACCCCACCCCUAGAUACAACUCCUAAUGCCAUUUCGAAACACGAAAACACCAGAACAAGAACUCAGCUCUAAUCUCCUUACCCACCCCAACCACCAGACUCCAGCAACGGCGAAGAUACUACAGAAGAGCAGAACCACCCCAAAAAAAAAGCCUCUCAUUGAAUCCUGAAUCGCCUCAGACUUGCACCUUUCUGCAACCCACAAGCAUAUAUCCAACUAGCAGAAUCUUGAAUUCCUACAGCCACGGCAACUCUUCCUCACCCUGUAUAUAAGCUGUCCUCCUCGAAUGGAUGAUCAAAUGACUUGAGCAGCGGAAAUC